AGGAAAAUAUCCUGACUUAAGAUAGCUGAAGUGGUCAGCUGAGCAGUGAGAGAUGUGAGUUUGCCUCCUACAGGCCGUUUACCUUAUAUGGACAUUGCUUAUGUAAUCUCCUUUGACACAGGAAACUGCGUGGGGAUAUCCUGGCACGGAAGAAUCCAAAAGAUAUUUCUUACAAUGUACUACUAUUUAAAACAAUGCGUUCCUCAGACACACAAUUGUCUGGAUUAACAUCAAAUUGUGAGGUUUGCAGAGCAGCAUAUUUCCAAUAGAGUACUGUAUUUCAAAUGAUCCAGGACCUAUCAAGUACAAAAUGGCACCUACAGGAACCCUACUUAAAGAUGAUCACGAUUGCAAAUAAUAGUCGAGUGCUCUUCAGUCAAGCUCAACUGUCACACAACAACAAACAGCCUGCCAUGCCAAUGACACUUAAGG